AGAGCGCGUGAGGGAAACUGCUACUGCACGACGCGAGUGAUGAACACCUGUGCGCAUCCCUGCGCCACCGGCACGCAGCCCUGGGAUUUCACCUCGUCCUUGAGAGACCAGCGCAAAUCAACCCAAAUAAAACAUCCCGACCCUGUUCACCUCUCCCGGAGGGUCGUUUUCCUUCGCGACACGUGGACGAAGCCGUACACAGCAUUAGGCAAACCUGCCUAUGAAAUGUUGGAGUGUGAUCCUGACUGGUCCCCUUCUCUGUACCUCAGCCAUACUGAGGUCAAAGCUACGAACACAGACCGGUUCAAGCCCUUUUGGAGAAUUAUAUACCAUGCUCACAUCUAAUAUGUAAAUGUUUAUUGUUUUCCAAAAGAUUUUGUAAUGUCUCUUCUCACAUGUAAUGAUUUUUAGCCAUGUCUGUAAAUAAAAUACACAAAGACUGAAUGAAAUUCUGCCUCCUUUAUCUGUAUUAAGGAAUAAUUGUGCAAAAUCAGUGUUCUUUGGUUGCAAACACAAGUACAUAACUUAAAUAGUAGUAACAAUCCAACUUAAUUUCAGUUUCUUUACAUAUUUAACAUGUAAAUACAUUUAAAUGAAUACAUUUACAUUAUAAAAAGUCCAUAGAAAACUUCGUGUGUGUAUGCACUAACACUUAGUAUCAUGUAGUUGUAAAUAUAUGGGUGCUGGAAGUUGGGCAACAGUUUGACGUCCCUUGACCAGUCGCUCUGCUCGUAAGGAUCCAGUCCUUUGAUUCCCUUUUUUUCUCGUCAUAUCUCGUCUUUGCAUUAGGAUUUAGUUUUAGGCGGUAUGGUCCGACAAUGUUUUCUUUAGUCCGCUGCAUUUUGUACGAUUAUAUUCUGUUUUUCACGCUAAUUUUUCAUUAUUUUCAUGCCAGAACACUAGCCUGCUAUGCCAGCCCAGGUAAACUGGCCAAACAUACCCAUAAUUCUUUGCGUUCCGAUGACGUUGCCGCCCAGUUGGUCACAUGUCUUAGCGAUCUCUAUUAACAGAAGUGUUAACUACCUUCUUGCUGAAAUUAAAUUAAAUAAUUAACAAAAAAAGUACAAACAGUGAACUAAGAAAUCCACUGACUGCACUGCUUCCACUUCAU
rnacentral:lncRNA from 12 species